rnacentral:rRNA from 1 species
CGAGUGAAGCGGCAAAAGCUCAAAUUUGAAAUCCUCAGGGAAUUGUAAUUUGAAGGUGGUCUCAGUUAGUUCAAACAUUCUUAAGUCCAUUGGAAAAUGGCGCCAUGGAGGGUGAUAGCCCCGUAAAGAAUCCGUUUGCUCUAUUUUCUUUGACCACCAAAGAGUCGAGUUGUUUGGGAAUGCAGCUCUAAGUGGGUGGUAAAUUCCAUCUAAAGCUAAAUAUUGGCGAGAGACCGAUAGCGAACAAGUACAGUGAUGGAAAGAUGAAAAGCACUUUGAAAAGAGAGUGAAAAAGUACGUGAAAUUGUUGAAAGGGAAGGGCUUGCAAGCAGACACAACCUUUUGGUUGGGCCAGCAUCGGGGCGAGGGGAAGGAAAAAAGAAAAGGAAAUGUAGCUCUCGAGUAUUAUAGACCUUUUCCACAACUUCCAUCUCAUCCCGAGGCCUGCGGAUUCAUUCCUAGG